ACUGGAGUUUGAUCCUGGCUCAGGACGAACGCUUGCGGCGUGCCUAAGAAAUGCAAGUCGAACGGGGACUUCGGUCCUAGUGGCGAACGGUCGCGUAACACGUAAGCAACCUGCCCUGAAGAGGGGGACAACAUCCCGAAAGGGUGCUAAUACCGCAUGUGGUCGCGAGUCGGCAUCGACUUGUGUCUAAAGAUUUAUCGCUUCAGGAUGGGCUUGCGGCCUAUCAGGUAGUUGGUGGGGUAAUGGCCUACCAAGCCGACGACGGGUAGCUGGUCUGAGAGGACGAUCAGCCGGAUUGGGACUGAGAUACGGCCCAGACUCCUACGGGGGGCAGCAAUUAGGAAUCUUGCGCAAUGGGGGAAACCCUGACGCAGCGACGUCGCGUGAAGGAUGAAGGCCCCUCGGGGUCGUAAACUUCUUUUGAGUGGAAGAAAUUUGACGGUACCACUCGAAUAAGCCCCGGCUAAACUACGUGCCAGCAGCCGCGGUAAUCUGAUGGCGCGAGGGA
rnacentral:rRNA from 1 species